UUGGCCCUAAACCUCAAUAGUUAAAAUAACAAAACUAUUCGCCAGAAUACUACAAGCAACAGCUUAAAACUCAAAGGACUGGGCGGUGCUUCAUACCCCCUAGAGGAGCCUGUUCUGUAAUCGAUAAACCCCGAUCCACCCCACCCUCUCUUGCUUAGUCUAUAUACCGCCAUCUUCAGCAAACCCUGAUGAAGGCUACGAAGUGAGCGCGAAUGCCCUUCCCCGCAAAAACGUUAGGUCAAGGUGUAACCUAUGAGACGGUAAAAAUGGGCUACNUUUUCUACUCCAGAAAACCCCACGAUAGCUCU
rnacentral:rRNA from 1 species